UACGUAGGGUCCGAGCGUUGUCCGGAAUUACUGGGCGUAAAGAGCUCGUAGGUGGUUUGUCGCGUUGUUCGUGAAAACUCACAGCUCAACUGUGGGCGUGCGGGCGAUACGGGCAGACUGGAGUACUGCAGGGGAGACUGGAAUUCCUGGUGUAGCGGUGGAAUGCGCAGAUAUCAGGAGGAACACCGGUGGCGAAGGCGGGUCUCUGGGCAGUAACUGACGCUGGAGGAAGCGAAAGCGUCGGGAGCGAACAGG
rnacentral:rRNA from 1 species